rnacentral:misc_RNA from 1 species
UUUUUUUUUUUUUUUUUUGCAAUUGAAUUUCGUCUUUAAUCAUGAUAAUUGUCCUUUUGAAUUCCAUAAGCAUAUGAUUACUAAACAGAUACAGGACAGUAGAUUUCUAAACAUUGCACUAUAGGCUAUUUGUGCAUGGAAAAAAUCAGAUGUGUAAGUCAUUAAAAUUACUUCUUUCCUUAUCUUCCUUCUCCAAAUACAAAGCUCAUAGAAAUUUUCUUACAGUGAUUCUAUAUUUGCAUCAAUUCAUAUGCCAAAUCCAUUCCUCCCAUUUGAGCUAUGUGAUUGAUUUAGAUCAGUAAUUGCAUGCUUUUUCACUUUUUAAAGCAUUUUGAGGUAUUUGUGAAAUAUAUGAAUCUAAACUAUUGUAAAUAUCUUUAGCUUUGAGAAUAUUUGGUCAAUUCUAAUUUAAGUCCUCAUUCUAGACUUUGUUGACUAGAAAAAACA